GAUCAAAGUGUAGUAUCUGUUCUUAUCAGCUUAAUAUCUGAUACGAUUCCCAUNGUGGAUCCAGAAUAUUAAACUGAUUUUUGGAAACUGGCGGAGUGCUGGGGCUUGCUCCACCUCCGCCGCGGGUUGGC
rnacentral:snRNA from 1 species